AUGGACACCACCAAGCCCUCCAAACAGAGCAACAAGUACACAGCCAGCAGCUACCUGACCCUGACACCCAACGCGUGGAAGUCUCUGUUGGGUGUGUGUUGGGUGUUUGGCAGAGCGACCCAGCUGACCAUCCGAGGUCAGCCCAAGGCCUCACCCUCAGUCACUCUCUUCCCACCAUCCUCUGAGGAGCUCCAAGCCAACAAGGCCACACUGGUGUGUCUCAUGAAUGACUUCUACCCGGGCGCCGUGAUGGUCACCUGGAAGGCCGACGGCACAACCGUCACCCAGGGCGUGGAGACCAUCAGGCCCUCCAAACAGAGCAACAAGUACGCAGCCAGCAGCUACCUGACCCUGACUCCAGACUCGUGGAAGUCUCACAACAGCUACAGAUGUCAAAUCACGCAUGAGGGGAGCACCGUGGAGAAGAAGGUGUCUCCAGCAGAGUGUUCUUAG